rnacentral:rRNA from 1 species
CGAAGGGUGCAAACGUUGCUCGGAAUUAUUGGGCGUAAAGCGCACGUAGGCGGCUUAGCAAGUCGGAAGUGAAAUCCCACGGCUCAACCAUGGAAGUGCUUUCGAAACUGCUGAGCUUGAGUACAAAAGAGGAUCGCGGAAUUCCCGGUGUAGAGGUGAAAUUCGUAGAUAUCGGGAGGAACACCAGUGGCGAAGGCGGCGAUCUGGGUUGAUACUGACGCUGAGGUGCGAAAGCGUGAGGAGCAAACAGGAUUAGAUACCCUGGUAGUCCACGCCGUAAACGAUGAGUGCUAGGUGCUGUGGGUAUUGACCCCCGCGGUGCCGCAGCCAACGCGUUAAGCACUCCGCCUGGGGAGUACGGCCGCAAGGCUA